CAUCUUCCCUUUAGCAAAAUAAUGCUUUAGAUUUAGAAUCUAAAAACACCCUA
rnacentral:tRNA from 1 species